rnacentral:rRNA from 1 species
GACGUAGGUGGCAAACGUUAUCCGGAAUUAUUGGGCGUAAAGGGUGCGUAGAUGGCCUGAUAAGUUAGCAGUGGGAAAUCGAGGCUCAACCUCGUGGAAGCUGGUAAUACUGUCAGGCUCGAGUGCAGGAGAGGUUAACGGAACUCCAUGUGGAGCGGUAAAAUGUGUAGAUAUAUGGAAGAACACCAAUAACGGCGAAGGCAGUUAACUAUUCUGUUACUGACAUUGAGGCACGCAAGCGUGGGGAGCAAACGGG